UGAGUAAUGUCUGGGAAACUGCCCGAUGGAGGGGGAUAACUACUGGAAACGGUAGCUAAUACCGCAUAACGUCUUCGGACCAAAGUGGGGGACCUUCGGGCCUCACACCAUCGGAUGUGCCCAGAUGGGAUUAGCUAGUAGGUGGGGUAAUGGCUCACCUAGGCGACGAUCCCUAGCUGGUCUGAGAGGAUGACCAGCCACACUGGAACUGAGACACGGUCCAGACUCCUACGGGAGGCAGCAGUGGGGAAUAUUGCACAAUGGGCGCAAGCCUGAUGCAGCCAUGCCGCGUGUAUGAAGAAGGCCUUCGGGUUGUAAAGUACUUUCAGUGGGGAGGAAGGCGUUAAGGUUAAUAACCUUGACGAUUGACGUUACCCGCAGAAGAAGCACCGGCUAACUCCGUGCUAGCAGCCGCGGUAAUACGGAGGGUGCAAGCGUUAACCGGAAUUACUGGGCGUAAAGCGCACGCAGGCGGUCUGUCAAGUCGGAUGUGAAAUCCCCGGG
rnacentral:rRNA from 1 species